CUUGGUCAUUUAGAGGAAGUAAAAGUCGUAACAAGGUUUCCGUAGGUGAACCUGCGGAAGGAUCAUUAUCGAGUUUUGAAAAGUGGGGUUUGAUGCUGGCCUUUUCCGAAAGGCAUGUGCUUGCCUCUACUUAUCCACUCCAACACCUGUGCACAUUUGAGACAUUGUCCUCCCAAUGACUUGGGAGCAGCUCCCUUUCAGUCUCUUUCACCAGAAACAAAAAAGGUUGAGCCAGGACAGUGUCUCAUCUAUUUAAAACAAAAACCCUUCAAAGUUCAGUAGAAUGUUAAUACUGCCGAAAGGCAACAAUUUAAUACAACUUUCAACAACGGAUCUCUUGGCUCUUGCAUCGAUGAAGAACGCAGCGAAAUGCGAUAAGUAAUGUGAAUUGCAGAAUUCAGUGAAUCAUCGAAUCUUUGAACGCACCUUGCGCUCCUUGGUAUUCCGAGGAGCAUACCUGUUUGAGUGUCAUGAAAUUCUCAAUCUCCUGAGCUUUUUAAGUGAGGGACUGAUUGGAUUUGGGAGCUUGCUGGCUACCUGUUGGUCAGCUCUCCUUGAAUGCAUUAGCUUUGACCAAGGAAUGGCACAUGGGUGUGAUAAAACUAUCUGCACUCUGUUGACAAAAUGGUUAAGCUCAGAAUCUGUCGCCAGACAACCUUUUCAUCAUCUGACCUCAAAUCAGGUAGGACUACCCGCUGAACUUAAGCAUAUCAAUAAGCGGAGGA
rnacentral:rRNA from 1 species